GAUGAAGAACGUAGCGAAAUGCGAUACUUGGUGUGAAUUGCAGAAUCCCGUGAACCAUCGAGUCUUUGAACGCAAGUUGCGCCAGAAGCCAUUAGGCCGAGGGCACGCCUGCCUGGGCGUCACACGUCGUUGCCCCCCCAUCUACUCCUUCGGGAUUGCGGGGGGCGGAUGAUGGCCUCCCGUGCGCCUCGCCGCGCGGUUGGCAUAAAUGCCAAGUCCUCGGCGACGCACGCCACGACAAUCGGUGGUUGCGAAACCUCGGUUGCCCGUCGUGUGCGGUCGUCGCGCAUCGAGGGCUCGAAAAAAUUGCCGGGUUCCGGCUCGGCUUUCAACGCGACCCCAGGUCAGGCGGGGUUACCCGCUGAAUUUAAGCAUAUCAAUAAGCGGAGGA
rnacentral:misc_RNA from 1 species